rnacentral:rRNA from 1 species
AGAGUUUGAUCCUGGCUCAGGAUGAACGCUAGCGGCAGGCCUAACACAUGCAAGUCGAGGGGUAACAUAAAGUGCUUGCACUUUGAUGACGACCGGCGCACGGGUGAGUAACGCGUAUACAAUCUGCCUCAUACUAGGGGAUAGCCCAGAGAAAUUUGGAUUAAUACCCUAUAGUAUCAUUUAGAGUCAUCUCUUUAUGAUUAAAGGUUACGGUAUGAGAUGAGUAUGCGUUCUAUUAGUUAGUAGGUGAGGUAACGGCUCACCUAGACCACGAUAGAUAGGGGCCCUGAGAGGGGGAUCCCCCACACUGGUACUGAGACACGGACCAGACUCCUACGGGAGGCAGCAGUGAGGAAUAUUAGACAAUGGGCGAAAGCCUGAUCUAGCCAUGCCGCGUGCAGGAUGACGGCCCUAUGGGUUGUAAACUGCUUUUAUACAGGAAGAAAAAACUCUACGUGUAGAGUCUUGACGGUACUGUAAGAAUAAGGAUCGGCUAACUCCGUGCCAGCAGCCGCGGUAAUACGGAGGAUCCAAGCGUUAUCCGGAAUCAUUGGGUUUAAAGGGUCCGUAGGUGGUUUGUUAAGUCAGAGGUGAAAUCCUACCGCUCAACGGUAGAACUGCCUUUGAUACUGGCAAACUUGAGUUAUUGUGAAGUAGUUAGAAUGUGUAGUGUAGCGGUGAAAUGCAUAGAUAUUACACAGAAUACCAAUUGCGAAGGCAGAUCACUAAUAAUGUACUGACACUGAUGGACGAAAGCGUGGGUAGCGAACAGGAUUAGAUACCCUGGUAGUCCACGCCGUAAACGAUGGUCACUAGCUGUUCGGACUUCGGUCUGAGUGGCUAAGCGAAAGUGAUAAGUGACCCACCUGGGGAGUACGUUCGCAAGAAUGAAACUCAAAGGAAUUGACGGGGGCCC